rnacentral:piRNA from 1 species
UGCCAGCACAUAGAAAGAAGCUUGCUA